rnacentral:rRNA from 1 species
UUUAUGGAGAGUUUGAUCCUGGCUCAGGACGAACGCUGGCGGCGUGCCUAAUACAUGCAAGUCGAGCGGGCCUCCGGAGGUGCUUGCACCUCCGGAAGGCCAGCGGCGGACGGGUGAGUAACACGUGGGCAACCUGCCUUGAAGUGCGGGAUAACACCGGGAAACCGGUGCUAAUACCGCAUACGUCCUCUUUCGCGCCUGCGAGAGGGGAGAAAGACGGUCGAUGGCCGUCGCUCGAAGAGGGGCCCGCGGCGCAUUAGCUUGUUGGUGGGAUCAAAGCCUACCAAGGCGACGAUGCGUUGCCGACCUGAGAGGGUGAUCGGCCACACUGGGACUGAGACACGGCCCAGACUCCUGCGGGAGGCAGCAGUAGGGAAUCAUCCGCAAUGGGCGCAAGCCUGACGGUGCAACGCCGCGUGAGUGAGGAAGGUUUUCGGAUCGUAAAGCUCUGUUGUGAGGGAAGAACAGCUCUUGGAGGAAAUGCCGGGAGUUUGCCGGUACCUCACCAGAAAGCCCCGGCUAACUACGUGCCAGCAGCCGCGGUAAUACGUAGGGGGCAAGCGUUGUCCGGAAUUAUUGGGCGUAAAGGGCACGCAGGCGGUACGGCAAGUCUGAUGUGAAAGGCCGGCGCUCAACGCCGGAAUGGCAUUGGAAACUGUCGCACUUGAGUACAGAAGAGGAGAGUGGAAUUCCACGUGUAGCGGUGAAAUGCGUAGAGAUGUGGAGGAACACCAGUGGCGAAGGCGACUCUCUGGUCUGUGACUGACGCUGAGGUGCGAAAGCGUGGGGAGCGAACAAGAUUAGAUACCUUGGUAGUCCACGCCGUAAACGAUGAGUGCUAGGUGUUAGGGGUUUCGAUACCCGUAGUGCCGAAGCAAACGCAAUAAGCACUCCGCCUGGGGAGUACGACCGCAAGGUUGAAACUCAAAGGAAUUGACGGGGGCCCGCACAAGCGGUGGAGCAUGUGGUUUAAUUCGAAGCAACGCGAAGGACCUUACCAGGCCUUGACAUCCUCUGAUCGCCUUGGAGACAAGGUUUCCCCUUUGGGGCAGAGUGACAGGUGGUGCAUGGUUGUCGUCAGCUCGUGUCGUGAGAUGUUGGGUUAAGUCCCGUAACGAGCGCAACCCUUGAAUGUCGUUGCCAGCAUUAAGUUGGGCACUCGACAUUGACUGCCGGUGACAAACCGGAGGAAGGCGGGGAUGACGUCAAAUCAUCAUGCCCCUUAUGGCCUGGGCGACACACGUGCUACAAUGGACGGUACAACGGGCAGCGAAGCCGCGAGGUGGAGCGAAUCCCCGCAAAAGCCGUUCUCAGUUCGGAUUGCAGGCUGCAACCCGCCUGCAUGAAGCUGGAAUCGCUAGUAAUCGCGGAUCAGCAUGCCGCGGUGAAUACGUUCCCGGGCCUUGUACACACCGCCCGUCACACCACGAGAGCCGGCAACACCCGAAGUCGGUGAGCGAACCCUGAUGGGACGCAGCCGCCGAAGGUGGGGCUGGUGAUUGGGGUGAAGUCGUAACAAGGUAUCCCUACCGGAAGGUGGGGAUGGAUCACCUCCUUUCUAAGGAG